rnacentral:rRNA from 1 species
UACGGGGGGGGCAAGCGUUGUUCGGAAUUACUGGGCGUAAAGGGCUCGUAGGCGGCCAACUAAGUCAGACGUGAAAUCCCUCGGCUUAACCGGGGAACUGCGUCUGAUACUGGAUGGCUAGAGGUUGGGAGAGGGAUGCGGAAUUCCAGGUGUAGCGGUGAAAUGCGCAGAUAUCAGGAGGAACACCGAUGGCGAAGGCAGCUCGCUGGGACGGUACUGACGCUGAGACGCGAAAGCGUGGGGAGCAAACAGG